GAUGAACGCUGGCGGCGUGCUUAACACAUGCAAGUCGAACGGUGAAGCCCAGCUUGCUUGGUGGGCUCGUGGCGAACAGGGGAGUAACACGUGAGUAUCCCCCCCUUUUCUCUGUGGUAUGCCCUGGAAACGCCGGCUAAUAUCCCGUACGAGCUCUCACCGCACGUUGAGUUGCUGGGAAGAAUUUCGGUCAUGGAUGGACUCGCGGCUUAUCAGGUCGUUGGUGUGGUAACGGCUUACCAAGCCGACGACGGGUAGCCGGCCUGAGAGGGUGACCGGCCACACUGGGACUGAGACACGGCCCAGACUCCUACGGGAGGCAGCAGUGGGGAAUAUUGCACAAUGGGCGCAAGCCUGAUGCAGCAACGCCGCGUGAGGGAUGAAGGCCUUCGGGUCGUAAACCGCUUUUGGCAGGGACGAAGCGAGAGUGACGGUAACGGGAGAAGAAGCACCGGCUAACUACGUG
rnacentral:rRNA from 1 species